rfam:Dipodomys ordii contig_59418, whole genome shotgun sequence.
GGGAAGGUGGCUCAGUGGUAGAGUGCUUGCCUUGCAUGCAUGAGGCCCUGGGUUUGAUUUCUCAACUCCA